ACUGGAAUGCGUUACGUAGGGAGGUGGUGGAAUCUCCUUCCUUAGAUAUUUUUAAGGCCCGGCUUGAUGAAGUCCUGGCUGGGAUGAUUUAGUUGGGGUUAGUCCUGCUUUGAGGAGAAGGUUGGACUAGAUGUCCUCCUGAGGUCUCUUCCAACUUUAAUCUUCUAUGAUUCUAUGACC